rnacentral:tRNA from 16 species
GGUAGCUGAGUUGGUUGUAGCGCUGGACUCUGGUUUCAAGGUCCUGGGUUCCAACCCCAGUG